ensembl:lncRNA
UUAUUUGUUUACAUUCUAUGUAAACAGAAAUAAAGUAUUUUUCACAUUCAUUCCAUAGGAAUUAUCAGCUCAGUGUCUGCAUAUUUUUCAGAUUUAAAGUAAAAGCAACAGGAUUUCCUCAAAUCAACAAAUAUAAAGAAAUAUAUGGAAAGUAAAAAGUUUCUUAAAAUUCAACAUAUUAAGAUCUCUCUGACCUAUUGGUAUCUUAUACUACUACAUAUGUGAACAUACAUAGCUAUUAAAAUACAAUCAAGUAGUACAGAAUUAUAUAGUAUUUUGUUCCUGUAUUACAGCUUAAUGACUGUAAGAUGUGCCCUUUCAAAAAUGUUCUGGAGUUCAAAAGCUUCAAACCCAUUCCACUGCUCUCCAGACUCUUUCUUUUUCAUAUGUAAUUCUAAGUUCAAUGCAGUUCUAAAUUCAAUACAGUUCAGUUCAGUUCAAUUCAAGGUUCUACGUCAAUAAAGGAAUGACUUAGGGGAACAAGACCUUUCCUUGUCUUUGGAAAGAACCCAGUAGACCUGUAAUAAACACCUAAUUCUCACCAGGGCUGGUGUGAGAUUGUACCUUGCUUGAAAGAUGCUGCAUAAUUCUUAAUUCUGCUCUCCCAUUAGUCACAAUUCCUGUGUUUCCCAUGUCACACAAUAAAACAAUUUACUAUAAAUGAAAACCUCUAGUAGUUGUCCAGCAUAGAAUUUUUGUUUUUAAUUGUUAAUUGUCAAUUUUAAAGAUAAUCUUAAAAUUUUAAAUAUGCCAUUUAUUCAGUAAAUAGUAGGAGUUGCAAAACUUGUGUAAGUUCUUUCAUGUUUGUGGUUAUUUAUCUGGCUUAGCCAUUUAGUUUAAGGGAUAUGGUUAAUAUUGAAAAGGAGUGAGUUAGCAGUAGGCUAAAUAGCUUUUAAUGUUUUGCCUACAUAUAUCUAUAUAGGAAAAAAAUUUUCAAAAAGGAAGUAUAAUAUACAAGCCUCUUUCUUUUUACAUGUAGAUGCAAGAUUUCAUUCUGAAUUGCACAAUAUUUUUAAACUGUUAACUAUAAUUCCUUUCCAUUCUUAUAGGAUAAUGAAGAGUAAUAAAAAAGAGAGUUCUAUGAAAUAUUUUAAUUUAUGUACAUUUUAGAAACCAAUUUGGUAAAUGAGAAACAGCAAGGCAUCUUUUUCAACAACUCCAGGGCAAGUUUGAUGUUGUUCAUCCUUAGCAUUACAAUUUAACACUUGGUCUCUCCAACUUUCUCCUCAUUUUACUGUUUUGUGUAUGUACAUAAUCUAAGUAGGUCUUGCAUUUUUUUUCCCACUGAUGUUGUUAGUCAUGGCAAUGAACUUAUCCAUGACAAUAACUCCAUAACAUUUUCAACUUUGUUACUAUAAUUCCAACUGUAUCUGGGUGGGAAUGUGCUAAAAAUUACCACAGUUAAAAUUUUUUCAUUUAAAACCCUUAUUAAUGUUUAUAGGUAGUUUUUAAUAGGUGGUUUCUAUGGUACCAAAAAUAUGCAAAGUGUUUCCCAGUCAAGUAUCAAUUGCUAAAUCGUGUCUCUAUGAUGCAUCACUAUACACAUUAAAAUAAGUUCUCAGAAUUAUGAAAGAACAGAUAUGAACACUUAUGUACAACUCUAUUGUUUCUAUGAAAUGCUUUUAAAAUACAUUUUCAUGACAUUUGUCUACCCUUUAAAAUAAUCUAGAAUUACUAAGAAUUUUUUUAAAGAAAACCUCAAAGGCUUGGUAUUUAUUUGAGUAAAUGGUUUUUCUUAAUCAAGCCAAACUUCUAAUUAUACCUAUGCAGAUUAAGAGGACAAUACAAACAUAAUACCAUCACAAAAUGAGUUAUACAAACUGCAGUUCCUACCAGGUUAUUUGAAAAAUCGAAUAGUUCUAAAAUUGUAUUUGCAGCUUGUUCAAAAUAGCAUUAAAGGAUUGUUAAAUUGUAUUCUUUACAUGUGGAUUUACAAUGUGGGGGUUGGAACUGCUGUGACUAUACUCAUAUCUUAAAUUCAUUAAAGACUUGAUUGACGAAAAAUUAGACACCACUGUGAAGACUAUUAUUAUUUAGGUUUUUGGUUUGUUUUCAUCUUCCAAUGAAGAGGUGAUUUUCCAUAAUGCCAUAUUAUCCUGCAUAUCAUUAUUAAUAGUAUUUGGUCAAAGGUGUAUGUUACAAGAGAUCAUAUUACAUGUAUUCACACAUUAAACAGGUUCAACUCACUUCAGAAAUUAUUUUUCUGUUUCAGCUGUUUUUAGAAUGCAUCACCUAUUUUUCAACAACAAAGUAAAAUCUUCUGGAUGCUAUGAUAAAUGGAUAUCUGUAACAAAAGGUUAACAAAUGUGAGGCCCUUUUCAUAAAUCUCCUGAUUUCCAUGACAUGUAAAAACAUGAAAAAAUCAAUGGGUCAGAGAAAAGGGUCCUUUUUGUGUCCAUUUAGCCUAGAUUUCCAAUCACUAAAUUCUUUGCAGGGAACCAAUGAACCUGCAAAUCCUGGUGUUUUUAGAAAAUCAGCAAUCAUCCUGGAUGUUUUUCUGGGUAUAGUUUUCCUGCUUUGUGCAAUAUUGCAUUAAAACUGCUUAAAUGGCCACCUUCUACUGCUGGUCCUUCUCUAAUGAAAGGAACAAGACUUUGGCUUCAGACAGUGAUGGACUCUAUUGCCUGCAGUACAGUUUUGAAACCUCAGUGGAAACAUACAGUGCAACUUCAAAGUCCUGAAAUGGCAGAAUCACAAAAUCAUUUAGAUUGAAGAGACCUCUAAGAACAUCACAUCCAAUCUAUGACUGAUUACCAACUAGCCAACUAGCCCAUAGCACUAAAUGCCAUGUUAGUUGUUUCCUGAACACCCCCAGGGAUGGUGACUCUACCACCUCCCUGGGCAGACCAUUCCAUUGUUUAACAACCCUUCCAGUGAACAAAUUUGUCCAGCCUGGACCUUCCCUGGCUCAGCUUGAGGCUAUGUACUGUCACUUAUUGCUUGGGAAAAGAGACUAAUUUCCUCUCCAGCUACACCCUCCUUUUAGGUAGUUGUAGAGAACAAUAAGGUCCCCCCAAGCCUCCUUUCAUCCUGUAUGAACAACCCCAGAUCCCUCAGUCACUCCUCAUAGGACUUACCCUCUAGACAAUUCACCCGCUCUGUUGUCUUUCUCUGGACUUGCUCCAACCUCUCAAUGUCUUUUAUGCAGUGAGGGGCCUGGAACUGGACACGGGAUUUGUGUUGUCACCAGUGCCAUGUACAGAGGAACAAUCCCAGCCCACUGUUGCUGGCCAGGCCAGGAUGCCAUUGGUUUUCCUGGCCACUGGGCCACGUUUAGCUGCUCUCAACCAGCACCCUCAGGUCCUUUUCCACCAGGCCUCUUUACAGUCACUCUUGUCCCAGCCUGUAGUGCUGCAUGGCAUUGUUGUAGCCAGACUGCAGGACAUGUCACUUGGCCUUGUUGAAUCUCAAGUCCUCAUGCUGUCAUGUCUCCCCAGCCAGAAUUGCAACAGAAACAAUACUGAAACAGCAAAAGAGAGAUGUACAAAACCCAAUGUUUAUGGCACCUAGAUAAUAAAACUAAGAAGAUCUCUGUUCUGGUAAAUGCAGUGUAUUAAAGAGAAGAAAAUUAAGGAGAAGAAAGUAUAUGACAGCCCACACCCUGAACAGGAUGAGCAAAGGUAUAAAGAGAGACAAAGGGUACACAAAGGUACAGAGAGAAAACAAAGCUAAUCAAAAUGAUGCAUGAAGUUUGAGAGGGUUCUGAGAGAAUAAAACAAUUGACAGAAUAAAAAAUAUAAUUGAGGUCAACUCCUAAGGGAUAUAAAAAAAGAUAUCAAAAACUAUCAUGGCUGCCAACACAGGAAAAAGAUGAGAGCCAUGGUAAUGACUCAGUAUGCUCACUACCCUCCAAGGCAUCACAGGAAAUCCUGGCCAGGCCACCUCAGUACAUGCCUGUUAAUCCUUGAAUAUUGGACAGAUGAUUUGGACAAACACAUGCUCUACUAGUUAUGAGAAUGUGCGUAUGAGCAUGAAAUUAAAAUAAAAACACAAUUCCCUCAUACAAUAACUCAUGAGAAAUUUGUAGCAAGAAGUCAGCAUUAUUAUCACUUAAAAGGUCUCAAGAUGCAAGAAAUAAGAAGGUGUAAUCCCCUGGAACUAAUGGAAAUGCAGCAAUAUUUAACCUGCUAUUUUGCUACUGACUGCAAGGCCACAACCACAAGAUCGCAUAAAUGAGUGUCUGUGGUGGGUAGACCCUGGCUGGAUUCCAUGUGCCCACCCAAGUCACUCUUAUCAUUCCCCUUUCUCAGUUGAACAAAGGGAAAAAAAAUAGAAGAGCCUCACAGAUUGAGAUAAGAGUAGGAAGAGAUCACUCAGCUGUUACUGCCUGGGCAAAACCAGAUUUGACUUGGGGAAAUUAAUUUAUUACCAGUCACAUCAGAGCAGGGUAAUGAGGAAUAAAACCAAGUCUUAAAACAUAUUCUCCUCACCUGUCCCUUCUUCCCAAGCUCAACUUUACUCCUGACUUUUCAGGGACUGGGGAUUGUGGUCAAUUCAUCACACAUUGUCUCUACCUUUCCCUUCUCCUCUGAAGAAGAACUCCUCACACCCUUCACCUCCUGCAGUGUGAUGUUUCUCCACUGGGAAACAGUCUGUGAACUUCUUCAAUAUGAGUCCUUUCUGUGGGCUGCAGUAAUUCACAAACUGCUCCAGUCUGUGUCCCUUCCACUGGGUGCAGUCCUCCAGGCACAGCCUGUUCCAGUGUGGGUCCACUGCAGGGUCACAAGUCCUGCCCAACAAACUUACUCCAGCACGGACUCCUCUUUCCAUAGGUGCUGCCAGGAGCCUGCUCCAGCAUGGAUUUUCCAUGGGGUCACAGGCUCUGUUGGGCAUCAUCUGCUGUGGCAUGGGGAUCCUCCACAGGCCACAGGUGGAUCUUUGAAUCCCCAUGGCCCUCCAAGGGCUGCAGGGGCACAGCUGCCUCACCAUGGACUGCCCCAGGGGCUGCAGGGGAACCUCAGCUCUGGCACCUGGAGCACCUUCUGCCCCUCCCUCUGCACUGAUCUGGGUGUCUGCAGAGCUGUUCCUCCCACAUGUUCUCACUCCUCUCUCUGGCUGCAAUUGCUCCCAUGCAAUAACUUUUUUCCCAGUCUUAAAUACAUUACCCCAGAGGUGCUACCACCUUUGCUGGUGGACUUGACCUUGAACAGAGAUGGGUUCAUAUUGGAUCUGGCUGGCAUUGGCUCUAUUUGACAUGAAGGGAACCUCUUUCUCACAGAAGCCACUCCUGUAUCUUCCCACUAUCAGAGCCUUGCCAACCCACUAUAUUGUUUAAAGACUUUUUCCAUAGGGAAAGAAUAAUAUCAAUAUGUAAAAACAGGAAAGAGUAGUUCUUUUCACUGCAUCCAAAAGAAUUUGUAAAAUUACUCAUAUGACAGAAAAAUCAGACAUGGUGCACCAAAAGUUUCAUCAACUGACUAUUGAUAGUAGUUUUAGAUGCUAUUUUUAAACAGUUUCUUUUUCAGUAUUCAAAAGUUCUAGUAUUUGGGUUUAUUUUCUUAUGAAUCUAUAUAAAAUGUUUGGCACUUCAGAACAGCAAGGGGACAAAUCAACUAUGAUUUCUUUCAGGGAACAAAUGCUUCACUACUAUUUUAAUGUUUUGAUUAAGAACUUGGGUUUCUGUGUUAUUUAUUUAUUUAUUUAAAGCAAGAAAAACAAUAAACAGCUGCAUAUAAAUGCCUUUUUGAUCACGAAAAAGCUAACAUCUCAAAUGAAAAUUAAAUUAGUAUCAUGUAAAUUAUUCUUAUAUUUUACAUGAACAAGAAAUGGAGAAUUUCUUACAUUUGGACUGUUACUCCUGAUACCUGAUAUCUUCAGACAGCUAUGGAUAGCCUAUGUAAACAUAUAAAGAAGCAGUAGGACCAGUUUUGUUUCAGAUGAAGGGGUCUUACACAAUGAUCUGUCUAAUAGAAUUGAUGUACUUCUGAGGAGCUCCAUAAAGGAGAAUGUCAACAAUUAAAGGUCUAGCAGCAGUGCUGUAAUAUGAACAAAAAGACAAAUACAGCAAAUAAAUAUUUUUAAGUGAAAAAGGAGGCAAGAAUAUUAUACUCUAGGAGUAAGUCUCAUCAACGUAUUGUGAGAGACAAAAUGCUUCUAUAAAUAUAUCUUUGUCAGUAACUGGGAAAAAAGCACAAAGUGCAUUUAUUUUUCCCCAGAUUAAGGAAAUAGAGUACAUAAAUAUUGAGUUCCAGGAAUAUGGUGGAAUCUUGCAUAUAUUCAAGCUUUCCUGAAAUUAAAAAAAAAAAAAAAA